UGAGUAACACGUGAGCAACCUGCCCCUGACUCUGGGAUAAGCGCUGGAAACGGCGUCUAAUACUGGAUAUGUGACGUGAUCGCAUGGUCUGCGUCUGGAAAGAAUUUCGGUUGGGGAUGGGCUCGCGGCCUAUCAGCUUGUUGGUGAGGCAAUGGCUCACCAAGGCGUCGACGGGUAGCCGGCCUGAGAGGGUGACCGGCCACACUGGGACUGAGACACGGCCCAGACUCCUACGGGAGGCAGCAGUGGGGAAUAUUGCACAAUGGGCGCAAGCCUGAUGCAGCAACGCCGCGUGAGGGAUGACGGCCUUCGGGUUGUAAACCUCUUUUAGCAGGGAAGAAGCGAAAGUGACGGUACCUGCAGAAAAAGCGCCGGCUAACUACGUGCCAGCAGCCGCGGUAAUACGUAGGGCGCAAGCGUUAUCCGGAAUUAUUGGGCGUAAAGAGCUCGUAGGCGGUUUGUCGCGUCUGCUGUGAAAUCCGGAGGCUCAACCUCCGGCCUGCAGUGGGUACGGGCAGACUAGAGUGCGGUAGGGGAGAUUGGAAUUCCUGGUGUAGCGGUGGAAUGCGCAGAUAUCAGGAGGAACACCGAUGGCGAAGGCAGAUCUCUGGGCCGUAACUGACGCUGAGGAGCGAAAGGGUGGGGAGCAAACAGGCUUAGAUACCCUGGUAGUCCACCCCGUAAACGUUGGGAACUAGUUGUGGGGUCCAUUCCACGGAUUCCGUGACGCAGCUAACGCAUUAAGUUCCCCGCCUGGGGAGUACGGCCGCAAGGCUAAAACUCAAAGGAAUUGACGGGGACCCGCACAAGCGGCGGAGCAUGCGGAUUAAUUCGAUGCAACGCGAAGAACCUUACCAAGGCUUGACAUAUACGAGAACGGGCCAGAAAUGGUCAACUCUUUGGACACUCGUAAACAGGUGGUGCAUGGUUGUCGUCAGCUCGUGUCGUGAGAUGUUGGGUUAAGUCCCGCAACGAGCGCAACCCUCGUUCUAUGUUGCCAGCACGUAAUGGUGGGAACUCAUGGGAUACUGCCGGGGUCAACUCGGAGGAAGGUGGGGAUGACGUCAAAUCAUCAUGCCCCUUAUGUCUUGGGCUUCACGCAUGCUACAAUGGCCGGUACAAAGGGCUGCAAUACCGCGAGGUGGAGCGAAUCCCAAAAAGCCGGUCCCAGUUCGGAUUGAGGUCUGCAACUCGACCUCAUGAAGUCGGAGUCGCUAGU
rnacentral:rRNA from 1 species